rnacentral:rRNA from 1 species
UAGAGUUUGAUCCUGGCUCAGGAUGAACGCUAGCUUCAGGCUUAACACAUGCAAGUCGAGGGGAAACGACAUCGAAAGCUUGCUUUUGAUGGGCGUCGACCGGCGCACGGGUGAGUAACGCGUAUCCAACCUGCCCACCACUUGGGGAUAACCUUGCGAAAGUAAGACUAAUACCCAAUGAUAUCUCUAGAAGACAUCUGAAAGAGAUUAAAGAUUUAUCGGUGAUGGAUGGGGAUGCGUCUGAUUAGCUUGUUGGCGGGGUAACGGCCCACCAAGGCGACGAUCAGUAGGGGUUCUGAGAGGAAGGUCCCCCACAUUGGAACUGAGACACGGUCCAAACUCCUACGGGAGGCAGCAGUGAGGAAUAUUGGUCAAUGGGCGAGAGCCUGAACCAGCCAAGUAGCGUGCAGGAUGACGGCCCUAUGGGUUGUAAACUGCUUUUAUAAGGGAAUAAAGUGAGUCUCGUGAGACUUUUUGCAUGUACCUUAUGAAUAAGGACCGGCUAAUUCCGUGCCAGCAGCCGCGGUAAUACGGAAGGUCCGGGCGUUAUCCGGAUUUAUUGGGUUUAAAGGGAGCGUAGGCCGGAGAUUAAGCGUGUUGUGAAAUGUAGACGCUCAACGUCUGCACUGCAGCGCGAACUGGUUUCCUUGAGUACGCACAAAGUGGGCGGAAUUCGUGGUGUAGCGGUGAAAUGCUUAGAUAUCACGAAGAACUCCGAUUGCGAAGGCAGCUCACUGGAGCGCAACUGACGCUGAAGCUCGAAAGUGCGGGUAUCGAACAGGAUUAGAUACCCUGGUAGUCCGCACGGUAAACGAUGGAUGCCCGCUGUUGGUCUGAAUAGGUCAGCGGCCAAGCGAA